rnacentral:rRNA from 1 species
GACGUAGGGCGCGAGCGUUGUCCGGAUUUAUUGGGCGUAAAGAGCUCGUAGGCGGCUUGUCGCGUCGUUCGUGAAAACCCGGGGCUCAACUCCGGGCUUGCGGGCGAUACGGGCAGGCUAGAGUUCGGUAGGGGAGACUGGAAUUCCUGGUGUAGCGGUGAAAUGCGCAGAUAUCAGGAGGAACACCGGUAGCGAAGGCGGGUCUCUGGGCCGAUACUGACGCUGAGGAGCGAAAGCGUGGGGGAGCGAACAGG